rnacentral:rRNA from 1 species
CAACAAUCAACAACGGAUCUCUUGGCUCUCGCAUCGAUGAAGAACGCAGCGAAAUGCGAUACGUAAUGUGAAUUGCAGAAUUCAGUGAAUCAUCGAAUCUUUCGCCGCACCUUGCGCCCCUUGGCAUUCCGAGGGGCACACCCGUUU